UACGGAGGGUGCAAGCGUUAUCCGGAAUCACUGGGUUUAAAGGGUGCGUAGGCGGCGCUAUAAGUCAGAGGUGAAAGGCCACCGCUUAACGGUGGGACUGCCUUUGAUACUGUAGUGCUUGAAUCAGGCUGAGGUCGGCGGAAUGUGACAUGUAGCGGUGAAAUGCGUUAGAAUAUGUCAUAGAACACCAAUUGCGAAA
rnacentral:rRNA from 1 species